rnacentral:rRNA from 1 species
UACAGAGGGGGCAAGCGUUGUUCGGAAUUACUGGGCGUAAAGGGCGCGUAGGCGGCCUUCUAAGUCGAACGUGAAAUCCCUGGGCUCAACCCAGGAACUGCGUCCGAUACUGGAAGGCUUGAAUCCGGGAGAGGGAUGCGGAAUUCCAGGUGUAGCGGUGAAAUGCGUAGAUAUCUGGAGGAACACCGGUGGCGAAGGCGGCAUCCUGGACCGGCAUUGACGCUGAGGCGCGAAAGCCAGGGGAGCAAAGCGGG